rnacentral:lncRNA from 14 species
CUCCGCUCGGAUACCCAACUCUGUGCCGUACAAGUACCCUGUUAUUACAGUGCAGGCUACAGAUCCGGAUUCAGGAGACAACAGCCAUCUGCUGUACAGCUUAGUGAACAGUCAAAGCAAUGAAUUUGACAUUGAUGAAAACACAGGGCAGGUUUUCACCGUGUCUGUCGCAGGAAAGGCUGGAACAUUUUAUCUGGAAGUCCAAGUUUCAGACCAAGGCAUAAGCAGACUCACAGCCCGGACAACAGUCAAUGUAAGAAAGGUUAUUUACAGUCCUGAUUUGCUUCUAUGUCCAUACUCUGUAUACAUGAAAUGGUUUGGUAAUGACACCUAACAUCACACAAUGAGAGUAUGUGAUACACCAAUAUCACUGUGUACUUUCAGGCCAGAUUACGUGGUUACUGUGUCCACUGACAUAUAAAUAUGCUGCCACUAAGGCUGGCUUUUAGAGGAUGAUUAUUUUACAUCAGAGGGGACCUUGGGGGUUUAUUUGUUGGGGUUUUCUUUGAAAGUCAAUCUAAGCAAGGUACAAAUGCUUGAGAAAACCUUACAGGUGCUUGCUUUCUUUCUUAGGUAACUGUGGAUUCCAGUUCCAGUAACAACAUUGUGGUGGUGGCACUUAGUGAGAUGAUCAAUAUUGUUGAAAGAAACAUUAUUGAAGUAAAAAGGGUCCUGGAAGAUAAACUUGCAUGGAACAUCUACAUCAUUGAUGUUUAUUCCAAUGAGGCUGAAAGAAAAGCAAGAAGCAGCACUGAUGUAACCUCUGUAAAAAUUAUUGCCUCUGAUGAGGCAAACAAGGAGGUACCUGCAGAAGAUGUAAAAAGAAAACUUCAGGAGCAGAAGAGUAACAUUGAGGCAGAACUGGAGAAAAUCUUUUCAAGGCCUGUCACCACCAGCAUCGAAGACGUUCCAGCUGACUCAGCAAGUCCUGAGCUCAUUGCAACGAUAGUGCUCAGUGUUCUGCUGGCCUGCAGCAUCAUCGGCUUCCUGGUAUAUGUAGCUUUUACCAUAAAAAGGAAAAGGAAGCAGGAGCAGCAGUAUUUGGUUAAGCAGCACGAUGAAAUUCCAGAGGGUAUUGAUAAUCCGUGGGCAACUGACAAAAAUGGAAGUGUGAAAAGCUUAGAGAAACUCGAGCAUGUCAAUAAUGUGGAAAAGGAAAUGGUAGCAUUUAGCAACAUGGGAAACACCAAAGGAGAAGACUCUGACAAAGAUCUGAUUCAGGCUGAUGAAAAAUGCAGUUAUCUUGAGACGCUGCUGUUAGAUUUCAACAGCGAACACGAAGAUAAUGGAGCAUCUGAUAAAGCUGCUGAGCCCAGAAAUGUGGAUGCCCAGCACACUGCAGAUUUCACAGCCACACAGGACUGCUUUAUGCCAGCCAGCCACCAGGACCCAGCUCCUUCCUUCACCCCGCACUCCACAACACCUCCGCAUGAGAAAGACCUGAAAGGAGUGAAGUUCUCCGAAGUGGCCAUUAUCUUGGAGGCUGAAUCUGAAGAUGAAGAGUCUGACACUGUGGAUGGGCUCUGCACCAGUGCCAGUGCCUGAGGCAGCAAGCGGUUGGGAAGAGCACAGUGCCAUUGCUUGGGCCGGCACAGAGUGAGAUGAGCAAUAGGGAUAAGGGGAUGCUAUUCAGGUGUUGAUUCCUUCUGCUCCUCUUGUGGGGCAGGAGGGGGACAAGCAAUAAAGUAAGCCCUCGGGCUGUAGGGUGGUUUUAA